AUCACUUAAAUUUUGAGUUAUGCUCUGUCACAUAUUAUGGGGUAAAGGUUGCAUCAUAAUAAUAUUUUGGAGAGUCUUAGAGACCUCUGGACUAUCCCAUGUGAAUUAUGAGGUCAUAGUACAUAUCCUGCAGGCUUUCAACCUUGACCAGAGGUUUUCAUAAUGAAUGCAGCAUCCCUGGGGAGUGAUCUGAAGCUGGCGAGGCAAUGAGAACACCCUGGCAGGGCAGCUGAGCUGGGUGGAUCCUUGUUCUGUCACCAAGCCUUUAAGUCAUAUGCUGACAUGUUACAGUCCUGCCUGGGACCCUGCCCACAAAUACUUAAGAUACACGACUUUGGGAAUCACCCAACUGAUGGAAAGAACCAGGAAAGGGGUCAGGAUCUGCACCUUGGCAAACUUUGAAGAACACCCAAUUUGAUGAAUGAAAACUCCUCACUUGUGCUCUGGUGGUGUUUUAGGACAAUGGGCCCCUCCUGGAUGCUCCAGUGAAGCCCCAUAUCACCUUUUUCCUUCCUGUUUGCCAUAGCUCCAGGUGUAGGGACAGAUCAGAAGAUUCUGGAAAAGGCAGAUCACCAAAGAACUCAAGAUGUACUGAUAUUUUGCCAGUUUCCUUCAUCAACAACUUGUCUUCUUUACCAACUAAGGGCAAACAAAGAGAACAAACUAAAAAAAAAAAAAAAAGAAAAGAAAAGAAUUAAAUAAUUAAACAAAGAACUUAAAUAAGAAGAAAGGUUGUACCUGCCUACAAGAUUAUCAACACCAUGUGAGAACAUCCACUUUGCUGAACUCUUUCUCACAUAUCACCUUUAGAGAUGUUACAUGGUGACCAACUGUCAUUAACUUUGGAUGUUUUUCCUGGAGGAGGAGAAUGUGCAGGAAUGAGAAGAAAAUACCAUCAGAAUCAUGUGGACCCACAUUCAUCCCUUACUUCACCCCUUCUGGGAAGGAACCCAGCAGGCUCAAAGAUAUGGAAAAUGCCACCAGAAAAACAGUACCUGGGACAGAGGGUAGAGAUUCCUAUGGCAGGAAUGAGACUACUUUUAAUCUUUCUUCCGUCAUCUCAGCUUUUAAAUUUCUCCCUAGAGAACAUUUGGGUAGUAAGAUUCAGAGGUGCAUGUUAGGGUGUCAGGUGCACCCUGUGUCCUGGAAGUAGAUGGUACAGGCUCCUUUGUCUGGAGGCAAAGCGGGGCCAGAGUGGGCAGGGUCAGUUUCAAGGCUUUGGGAAAGCAGUGGUCUGGCAGUACUCUUCUGGCUCUUGGAAGCAGGAAUGCAAACUUGAUUCAGGCUGGGAGCAAACACCUGUUUCAUCUUUCAGGAAUAUCAGGAGUAUAGCAGCAGGUGACAGGGUACUUUGCAGAACCAGCAGAGGGGUGUCACCUCACACCCCAGGGAGCCAUAGUGUCCCAGUGUGGAGGCAGAAAGGUAGAAAGGGGUCAUUGGAGUAGCUUAGAGUAAUCUUGUGAGCUUUAGGCUUAAAUCAGCUGACUGAGCAGGGUCUUCUCUUCCACUGUUCAGGAUGAGGCUAUGCCUGGGGUCAAAAAGAAAAAGCCUCCAACUAUUUUACAUUGGCAGCUAUGAGGAUGGAAAAAAUAGUAGUGAUGGUGUUUGUUUUUUCAUUAACAGGUUAACCUGACCAUUGUGGGAAUGUCAUUAAAUAUUUUUCUAAGAUAUAAUUUUUACUGACUAAUGCUUGUGCCAUUACUUAAACCAUUACCUUAAAUUGUUUUCUAAUAUAAAUAAUUCUGAGAUGAGCACCUAUGAAUAUAUAUUUUCUCCCAUCACUGAAGUGAGAUUGCUGAAUCAAACGAUGGAAGGUUUUGAAGACUCUGGAUACAGUUUUCUAAGUUCCUUUCUAGAAAAUUGUGUUAACAAACGCUCCCAAGAGCAAGGCAGAAGAAGACUGAUAAAUUUGUUCUUGUGACUUUCUCAGGAUGUGGACUUUGGAGAAGUAAUACCUGCUGAUCCUGGACUUCUGAGAAUGGGUGUUUAUGGGAUAAGAUGGGAAGGUUUUCCAGCCUCCUUUAGGGAGGUCAUUACCUUCAAAUGAAAAAUUGAGGUCACACUAGAUAUACAUACACAUAGAAAGUACAAUGAGGAAAUGAACUUCAAGUAGGAAAUCAAGCAGGAAAUAAGUCAAUGAUGGACUAAUCUCUCAAAGUAAGUUGUUC
rnacentral:lncRNA from 1 species